UAGUCUAGCGGUUAGGAUUCCUGGCUUUCACCCAGGUGGCCCGGGUUCGACUCCCAG
rnacentral:tRNA from 1 species